rnacentral:rRNA from 1 species
CCAGCAGCCGCGGUAAUUCCAGCUCCGCAAGUGUAUUCCUAUACUGUUGCGUUUAAAUAGCUCGUAGUUGGAUCUGCGUGUUUAGCGCGCGGUGCCAUUUACUUGGUUACUGUGCCGCGACACUGUAAUGCUUGUUAUCGCGAUGCUCUCACGAGUGUCGUGCUCGAUAAGCAAAGUUUACUUUGAACAAAUCAGAGUGCUCAAAACGGGCGUUUCGCUCGAAUGUUCUUGCAUGGAAUAAUGGAAUAGGACCGCGCGUUCUAUUUUGUUGGUUUUCGGGACGCGGGUAAUGAUUAAGAGGGACAGACGGGGGCAUUUGUACUGCGACGUGAGAGGUGAAAUUC